rnacentral:rRNA from 1 species
GACGAACGCUGGCGGCGUGCCUAAUACAUGCAAGUCGAACGCAGUGGGGACGGGUGAGUAACACGUGGGUAACCUCCCAUCAGAGGGGAUAACACUUGGAAACAGGUGCUAAACCGAUACUGAUGGAUGGACCCGCGGUGCAUUAGCUAGUUGGUGAGGUAACGGCUCACCAAGGCCACGAUGCAUAGCCGAUCUGCGAGGGUGAUCCGCCACACUGGAACUGCAACACGGCCCAGUCGCCUACGGGAGGCAGCAGUUGUGUAUCUUAGACAGUGGGCGAAAGCCUGGCCGAGCAACGCCGCGUGAGUGAAGAAGGGUUUCGGAUCGUAAAACUCUGUUUUUCGAGAAGCGGUAUCUAACCAGAAAGCCACGGCUAGCUACGUGCCAGCAGCCGCGGUAAUUC